AUUCUGUGCUGCUCACUUCAGCAAAAUCUGUGCCGGAAGUAGGACAAUGCAGAGAAGAUUCACAUGGCCCCAGCCAAGGAUGAUGUGCAAAUUCACAAGACUUGCCAGAUUUUA
rnacentral:snRNA from 1 species